rnacentral:sRNA from 1 species
UGCUAGCCCCGAUAGCAGCGGUUACCCCGGAACUUGCGCUGUGGCCCUUCGGCAUCGCUUAGGUUGAAGGUGCUGGCGUGAGGAGUAUGAGCGGAUAGCGGGAAUCAGC